rnacentral:rRNA from 1 species
GAUCCUGGCUCAGGAUGAACGCUAGCGACAGGCUUAACACAUGCAAGUCGAGGGGCAGCGAGGGAGUGGCAACACUUCCGUCGGCGACCGGCGCACGGGUGAGUAACGCGUAUGCAACCUGCCCUUCACAGGGGGAUAACCGGGAGAAAUUCCGACUAAUACCGCAUACGUCCUCCGGGGGCAUCCCCGGGGGAUGAAAGAAUUAUCGGUGAAGGAUGGGCAUGCGUGAUAUUAGGUAGUUGGCGGGGCAACGG